AUGUCUUAUAAAAUGAGACUUUUUAUAUGUUAAUGUAUAAUAAAACUGAAUCAAGAUUAUUUUCCAUUUGAAUUUUUCUAUAGUUUAAAAAUAUUUCUGUAUCCUUUGUUGGUAUUGUGUCACUGCAAAACUUUAGUGCAAAGUUUAUAUUUAGCUAAACUGUUACGUUAACUAAGAAAUGCAUAAAUCUUCUAUUAAUAUUUCUAAUUCUCAAUUAAUUGAUCUAUGAAGAUAAAAAAAAGAAAACAUCUAUAACCACUCACAAACACAAAAAUUCUUAAGAUGAGGUUUCUGGAGCUAAAAGACCUGUGAACUGAAAAAAAAAAUGGUUUCUGUUGGCAGACAGUGAUACUUUCUUUGCGUUCUAAUUACAUGAAAUAAUUUUUAGAUUAAUUAAACAAAUACUAACCAAAGGGAUUAUUUUUAUGUUUUCACUGAAAUGUUAUGUAACAAAGACUGAAGAUUGAUUUGAAUAGAUUGGAAGACUGCUUCAUUAUUGAUGAUUCUUUUUUUUUUUUUUCCUGUGGUUUUCUUUUUAAUUAUCUUUAGUCUUGCGAUCACACAUUUUAAAAUUUGUGUAUAUCUCCACUACUUUAAUCCUUUUAAGUUGGCAAAAGCACCAUUCCCAAUCACAAAUACACAGUUCUACAUUUUAUGUUUCUGAAUGGCUGUUUAAAGACAAUCCUAAAUUAUAACUUAGUUUGACUUAGAUUGUAAAGAAUUCGAGAGUGAAGUUUAACUUGCUACUAUUUUAAAAGCAUGUGACCUUAUAGAUUUGUACGAUGUGAGAAGUGUUGAAUAAUCUUUAAUAUUACACAUAAACCAUACUAAAAUGCUUUUCAAUAAGUAAAAGGAACCCUUUUAAAUACAGGGAAUUAUAAUUAGAUUGGCAUUGUAAGGCCAAAACUGUAGACAUUGCUACCUUAUUUAUCUUCAACCCUUGCCUUUAAGAGGCAAAUGAACACAAAAUACAGGUGAAUCUUGCUUAGUUCUGAGACAGUGAAGGAAUUUCCCCAGUAUUUAAAUAUAUUCACAUAACCAGCUAUAUAAAUCUAAAUAUAAAACCAAUCUCCAGUAAGUUUUAAGAUGGCACUCACCAUCUUUGCGAAAAGUUGAACAUUACUAACAAAGUCUAAUCAUAUCUUUAGAAGGGGUAAACAGUGAUAGCAUUUACUGAAUUGGAAUUACUAUUAAAAUUCAAAAACUGAACAUAUUCAUUUAACCACAAGCCAGUCUUAGUUUUAAAUCAGGACUGCCCAACAAAAUAUUCUGUCAGUCAUUCAUGAUCUGAAUUCUGGUGUAUGAGAUCUAUUAAAGUAUGGUACACAUAAAAAAGUCAUGAGAC
rnacentral:lncRNA from 1 species